rnacentral:rRNA from 1 species
AGCGAACGCUGGCGGCAGGCUUAACACAUGCAAGUCGAACGCCCCGCAAGGGGAGUGGCAGACGGGUGAGUAACACGUGGGAACGUACCCUUUGGUUCGGAAUAACUUGGGGAAACUCAAGCUAAUACCGGAUAAGCCCUUAUGGGGAAAGGUUUACUGCCGAAGGAUCGGCCCGCGUCUGAUUAGCUAGUUGGUGAGGUAAUGGCUCACCAAGGCGACGAUCAGUAGCUGGUCUGAGAGGAUGAUCAGCCACACUGGGACUGAGACACGGCCCAGACUCCGACGGGGGGAAGCAGUGGGGAAGAGGGGACAAGGGGGGCAACCCUGACCCGGCCAGGCCGCGUGGGUGAUGAAGGCCUUAGGGUUGUAAAGCUCUUUUACCCGGGACGAUAAUGACGGUACCGGGAGAAUAAGCCCCGGCUAACUUCGUGCCAGCAGCCGCGGUAA